rnacentral:rRNA from 1 species
GGGCGCGGAAUUCAAGGGUGUGAGGCGAGCGGCUUAGGCCGCGAAGCAAUCGGAAGUGGUUCCAAGAAAAGCCUCUAAGCUUCAGUCUAACAAGACCGUACCGCAAACCGACACAGGUGGGCGAGAUGAGUAUUCUAAGGCGCUUGAGAGAACUCGGGAGAAGGAACUCGGCAAAUUGGUACCGUAACUUCGGGAUAAGGUACGCCCUUGUAGCUUGACUGGCCUGCGCCAGGAGGGUGAGAGGGUUGCAAUAAACUGGUGGCUGCGACUGUUUAAUAAAAACACAGCACUCUGCAAACACGAAAGUGGACGUAUAGGGUGUGACGCCUGCCCGGUGCCGGAAGAUUAAAUGAUGGGGUGCAAGCUCUUGAUUGAAGUCCCGGUAAACGGCGGCCGUAACUAUAACGGUCCUAAGGUAGCGAAAUUCCUUGUCGGGUAAGUUCCGACCUGCACGAAUGGCGUAACGAUGGCCACACUGUCUCCUCCCGAGACUCAGCGAAGUUGAAGUGUUUGUGAUGAUGCAAUCUCCCCGCGGCUAGACGGAAAGACCCCAUGAACCUUUACUGUAGCUUUGCAUUGGACUUUGAACCGAUCUGUGUAGGAUAGGUGGGAGGCUAUGAAACCGGAACGCUAGUUUCGGUGGAGCCGUCCUUGAAAUACCACCCUGGUUUGUUUGAGGUUCUAACCUUGGUCCGUUAUCCGGACUGGGGACAGUGCAUGGUAGGCAGUUUGACUGGGGCGGUCUCCUCCCAAAGUGUAACGGAGGAGUACGAAGGUACGCUAGGUACGGUCGGAAAUCGUGCUGAUAGUGCAAUGGCAUAAGCGUGCUUAACUGCGAGACCGACAAGUCGAGCAGGUGCGAAAGCAGGUCAUAGUGAUCCGGUGGUUCUGUAUGGAAGGGCCAUCGCUCAACGGAUAAAAGGUACUCUGGGGAUAACAGGCUGAUACCGCCCAAGAGUUCAUAUCGACGGCGGUGUUUGGCACCUCGAUGUCGGCUCAUCUCAUCCUGGGGCUGUAGCCGGUCCCAAGGGUAUGGCUGUUCGCCAUUUAAAGAGGUACGUGAGCUGGGUUUAAAACGUCGUGAGACAGUUUGGUCCCUAUCUGCCGUGGGCGUUGGAUAUUUGAAGGGGGCUGCUCCUAGUACGAGAGGACCGGAGUGGACGAACCUCUGGUGUACCGGUUGUCACGCCAGUGGCAUCGCCGGGUAGCUAUGUUCGGAAGGGAUAACCGCUGAAAGCAUCUAAGCGGGAAACUCGCCUUAAGAUGAGAUAUCCCCGGGGACUUGAUCCCCUUGAAGGGUCGUUCUAGACCAGGACGUUGAUAGGUCAGGUGUGGAAGUGAAAAAAAAGAAAAAAAAAG